AGUAUAUUUGAAUGUGAACUCAAGGUUUCUGUGUGGUUAGCUUCUGCUGAUUGAUCUGAUUCUGCACAAGCCAAAAGCAUAUAGACAUUUCCUUUAUAAUGUACUCAAACAAGAAACAGGGGAGUGCAAGGGCCUGUUGUGGAAAUCAUCCUUGGCCUUUCUUGCUUUGGAUGCUUGUAUCUUUUCUUCUUGAAGAUUUUAAUCAUUAACGAGAUUGUUCCUCGUAAUGUGUUUAGUAUCUUUGUCCAUGACCUAUGCAUACAAAGAACAAAGUGCCUUGGCGACUCAAAACAGGUGUCUGCUGCUGGAAAUGGCUCAGGAAGGGGGGUAUUCGUCAAUGAGCGUCGGCUCUUUUACGUGGACGUGUGUAAAGGUCCUUUUAAUAACCCAUGUUAGAUGGAGAGAUUAGUUUUUGAGUUGUUUCGAGAUCUUAACAAGCGGCAUUGUCAAAGCUGCUGAUAUUGGCGGAUGUCUUUCUUGGGAACUUUUUCCUUUGUUAUCUCCUUCUGCUCAUGACGAGAAACUCUUUCACGAUACCAGUUGGAUUCUCCAGGUGAACUUCGAUGUUUGUUUUGUAUGCUUCACCUAGCCAACAGUCAACAGUAAAACACUUCCACUGCUGCUGUAAAAUCAAUCCACUUUCUAUUUAAGGCACACGGUUACUUUUGUUUAUAUGAACUUAGCCCAUUGAAGAUGUGUAGUUCAGUGGAUCGA